GAUGAACGCUAGCGGCAGGCCUAAUACAUGCAAGACGAGCGGUAAGAUUUGUAGCAAUACGAAUCCAAGAGCGUCGUAAGGGUGCGUAACACGUAUGCAACCUGCCCGGAACAGGAGGAUAGCUCGGGGAAACUCGAAUUAACACUCCAUAAGAUAGUAGAGUGGCAUCACUCAGCUAUUAAAACUGAGGUGGUUCCGGAUGAGCAUGCGGAUGAUUAGCUAGUUGGCGGUGUAACGGACCACCAAGGCGAUGAUCAAUAGGGGAACUGAGAGGUUGAUCCCCCAAACUGGCACUGGGAUACGGGCCAGACUCCUACGGGAGGAAGCAGUAGGGAAUAUUGGACCACGGGUGCAGGCCUGAUCCAGCCGUGCCGCGUGCAGGAAGAAGGCUUUCUGAGUUGUAAACUGCUUUUGCCAGGGGAUAAAACGCCCUUGCGAGGGAAAUUGAAGGUACCUGGUGAAUAAGCCACGGCUAACUACGUGCCAGCCGCCGCAGUAAAAC
rnacentral:rRNA from 1 species